AGCUCGUCAGCGCACUCGCUGCUAAUACGAUCCUGUGUCGAGCACAUCGGAGGCACCAAAACCCAGUCGCAGGGAGGCUCAAGCUCAUGUCCUGGCAUUAAGAGGAACUGUCAGUGAUCUGAACGGAUGUCGAGAGACUGAGGAGAAUCCGAUCACAACAGGUCGGACUGGUCAAAACCAGCCAACAUAAAGCCCCUGCCAGCCAUCAAAGGCCUCACUAUCCUGGUCGCCAGGCCCACUCCAUGCAUCUUCUGAAGAGGAAUGUUGAAAUCAGACUAUCCCCUGUAACAGAAUGUGUUCUCUCUUCAAGAGGAAAAGAAAUCUGCUGUUUUGCAAGCAAACAAAAGAUCAGCAGUCAGAAGAUUGCAAGGCCUGAAGAUCAUCAAGGUGCUGAUGAAAAUCAGUUGCCCACCUCUGAGCUCAGGUUCUAGAGUAUGACCAACAAAUCCCUGAAGAUCCAAACCUGGGAUGUGGAACUGGGAAGCUGAAUCUAAUCGUGUGAUAUCAAGUUGGUGAUAAAGUCAAAACUGAUCAAGACUGCAGCGAAUUACAAGAGGACAUCAGUAAACUUGUGGAAUGAACAUACAGUUGACAAAUCAUUUCAAACAUGGUUAAGUGUGAAGUCAUUACAUUUUGGGAAGGAAAGUCCUUUUGGGAAGGAAAAUCUAAAUGUGGUAGAAGAGCAAAAGGAUCUGAAGUUCAAAUACACAAAUCACUAGAAGUAGUGACACAGAUUAA